ensembl:snRNA U7 U7 small nuclear RNA
GCAUGUUACAGCUCUUUUAGAAUUUUUCUGGCAGGCUUGUGGUCUUUAUUGAAAGCCCAU